rnacentral:rRNA from 1 species
UACAGAGGGUGCAAGCGUUAAUCGGAAUUACUGGGCGUAAAGCGCGCGUAGGUGGUUCGUCAAGUUGGAUGUGAAAUCCCCGGGCUCAACCUGGGAACUGCAUUCAAAACUGACGAGCUAGAGUAUGGUAGAGGGUGGUGGAAUUUCCUGUGUAGCGGUGAAAUGCGUAGAUAUAGGAAGGAACACCAGUGGCGAAGGCGACCACCUGGACUGAUACUGACACUGAGGUGCGAAAGCGUGGGGAGCAAACAGG